rnacentral:rRNA from 1 species
AGACGUCUACAUUAGAUACCCGGGUAGUCCCAGCCGUAAACUAUGCGCGGUAGGUGUAUCGGUGACCACGAGUCACCGAGGUGCCGAAGGGAAACCGUGAAACGUGCCGCCUGGGAAGUACGGUCGCAAGGCUGAAACUUAAAGGAAUUGGCGGGGAGCACCACAACGGGUGGAGCCUGCGGUUUAAUUGGACUCAACGCCGGGAAGCUCACCGGAUAAGACAGCGGAAUGAUUGCCGGGCUGAAGACUCUGCAUGACUAGCUG